GUGCUGCUUUGGCAACACGUGCACUAAAGUUGGAACAAUACAGACCAUCAGCAUGGCCCUGUGCAAGGUUACCAUGCAAAUUCAUGAAACAUUCUAUAUUUUU